rnacentral:lncRNA from 1 species
CAUUACCGGGGAAUGAUUGCAGCGUCGGGACCAGCGCGCCAGCCGCGCUAUUGGGGGAUGGAAACCACCUUAUAGAGUCUCUCCUCGGUCCUCGAUGCGAGCGGAUUGUCACAUGCUCCUGCUUGCACGGCAGAGCGCGUUUCCUCUUCUUCAUUCGAGUUCGAUUUUGCGGUGGAGAACUUUCUUCGUGGUGUGAGUGACCGAGACAUGGCGGUCAGUCGGGGCGAGCACAAAAAAAAAGUAGCGGUCGGAAGAAAGUUACCGAAGCCAUAUCGAGGCCAUACUUCCGGAAUAUUCACAUCACGUUAUCGCGAUACUUGUCCCUCAGAGUGAACUACGACGUUCCCUUUUUCAUUUCUUUUUAUUCUUCAAUUUAUCCUUUAUCAUACGAGUGUAUUGUGCGAUGGAACAUGGCGACUGCUCACGUGUGUUACUCAAGACAGGUGUAACGUAGUGAAGCUACUCGCUAGAGAUUUUGUGAUCUAUUGUCCUGAUUAAUAAUCGAUUAAUUAUAUUAAAAAUUAUUUGAAAAGGAGAUCAAACAAUGAUUAGCAUCCUGCUCAAAUGCUAAUAUCGAUGCUCAUCGUAUGAAAAACUAGAUAACGAUCACCAUUUGCGUUUCUGAUGACUUAUUUUGUGGAUCGAUUGUGAUGUAUCGUCGACAGUACGCGAUACGUUAGCAUUGUUACGUAGCAUUGCCAGUGGUUUUGUUUAGAGUGGCCCUCGAUGAAUUCCAGUGAAAAGGUCGUGCGUGUUGUACGAGAUGUAGACACUAGUAUGGCGCACAUGUUGCUCCUUGUACAUUCGAUAUUGUUGUUGUUGCGGAAUUGGCAAACCAUGAGCCGAUUGUUACCACGCUCAGGUUUGUCGAUAGAAGAAUUUUCUUAAUAAGGUUAUAAUUAUCGAUACGUUGCAAUCAUAUGUAAUGGAAGAUUUUUUUUAUACAAAAGUAAAUUGGCGGAAAAUUUAUCCGGCUUUCAAAUGGAGGAAAGAGUAAUAGAAAAUUGAAAGAAGAUUGAAUAAUCGCAUUUUCCGAUGAAGAGAAUAUAUGAAGUUGCUAGAGAUUACGUAAAUAUCAUCGUAAAUAUCAUCAACGAAUGUUUAUUCAUCAAGAAUUUUCUCGUCUAUCGCAAGUUGGAUGAAGAAAAGCAUCACUUAUUAACAGAUGUUGCAGAUAUUGUCGAGUUUCGCAAAACUUGGAGACCUUAUUGGGCUGCAGUGUUUACGACUUGAGAACUGGAAAAUAAUUGUCGUUUAAGAGCUGAUAGUUUACGGAUACCUGAAAGUUUCUGCCCGUCUGCGAAGGACAUUCUUGAAUUUUCAGAAAUAUCUUUAAGAAACCAUUUCACAAGGACCAGACAAAAGAGACUCAGCGAAAGAAUUUUUCCCAGUCAACUUUGACACGCGGGUUCUUUUGUACGCACCAUUUAUGUACGAAGCUUAACUUUUUGCGUUACUCCGCACCUAGUAUUAUCGCACUCUAUAUUUUAUGCUUUAUCUACGAACACUUGUCUCAUUUACUUCUAGAAAUAACCGCAUAACAUAAUGAAGAAAUAACAUAAUAAAGACGACAAGAAAUAUUCUCUAAUUUAAUGUCUCUAUU